rnacentral:rRNA from 1 species
UGGGGAAUUUUUGACAAUGGGGGAAACCCUGAUCCAGCCAUCCCGCGUGUGCUAUGAUGGCCUUCUGGUUGUAAAGCACUUUUGGCAGGAAAGAAACGUCAUGGGUUAAUACCCCGUGAAACUGACGGUACCUGCAGAAUAAGCACCGGCUAACUACGUGCCAGCAGCCGCGGUAAUACGUAGGGUGCAAGCGUUAAUCGGAAUUACUGGGCGUAAAGCGUGCGCAGGCGGUUCGGAAAGAAAGAUGUGAAAUCCCAGAGCUCAACUUUGGAACUGCAUUUUUAAGUAGCGGGCUAGAGUGUGUCAGAGGGAGGGGGAAUUCCGCGUGUAGCAGUGAAAUGCGUAGAUAUGCGGAGGAACACCGAUGGCGAAGGCAGCCUCCUGGGAUAACACUGACGCUCAUGCACGAAAGCGUGGGGAGCAAACAGG